UACGUAGGAGGCGAGCGUUGUCCGGAUUUACUGGGCGUAAAGGGCGUGUAGGCGGUAGCGCAAGUUGGGUGUGAAAGCCCCUGGCUUAACCAGGGAGGGUCAUCCGAAACUGCGUUGCUUGAGGGCAGCAGAGGAAAGUGGAAUUCCAGGUGUAGUGGUGAAAUGCGUAGAUAUCUGGAGGAACACCGGUGGCGAAGGCGGCUUUCUGGGCUGUACCUGACGCUGAGGCGCGAAAGCGUGGGGAGCGAACUGG
rnacentral:rRNA from 1 species